rnacentral:tRNA from 1 species
GAAGUGGUAGUUCAGUGGUAGAAUUCUCACCUUCAGUGAGGGAGACCUGGGUUCAACUCCAGGCCAAUGUA